UGAUUUUCAGUAUGAAAAGCGUAGGGGAU
rnacentral:sRNA from 1 species